AGCGAACGCUGGCGGCAGGCUUAACACAUGCAAGUCGAGCGGGCGUAGCAAUACGUCAGCGGCAGACGGGUGAGUAACGCGUGGGAACGUACCUUUUGGUUCGGAACAACACAGGGAAACUUGUGCUAAUACCGGAUAAGCCCUUACGGGGAAAGAUUUAUCGCCGAAAGAUCGGCCCGCGUCUGAUUAGCUAGUUGGUA
rnacentral:rRNA from 1 species